CAGCUGCACUUUUGCCUUAAAAUAUAAGGCUAAGCUGCCCAGCUGACCUGUACUUGACCAUAGUCUUGUGAGGAACCCAGCCAAGACCGGAAGAACUCCCAGCCAACCUAGCUCAAAACGCCAAACUGCAGAACUUGUUCUCAGCACACAGAACUGGCUUCUGAGGAGCAAUGGGAUGGAGUGGCCAGGCUUCCUCUUCUCACACGAGUGCAAAACCAGACGGGAUCCGUGAAGAAAUGAAAGCAGACAUCUGGGGUCUAUAAUUUUUAAUAAGUUUAAACUAGCUACAAAAUGUCAAUCACUUCACAAACUGACAGAGGAGACAGGAGGAAUUUAAUAUUACAUGCUGUAAUGAUAUUUAUCUCACAGUUUAUCUAUAUUUCAUUCAUUUAUAUUAUUUUUUAAAGAUUUCUUUAUCAGCUACUAAAUAUCUCAGCAAUUUGGUGUGCAUAGCUCUAGAUUAAGCAACAGAGAACCGUACUGAUAACAAACCACAGGGGGAAAUGGUGAUUAAUAAAAUUUACAUCUCCACACUGUUUCACAGCAAGAUUGCUUUCUCCAAAACAUAGCCUUCAAAAGCAGCAAACAAAUCCUAUAUUACAUUCAUUUGACAUAGUUCGGCCAAACGUCUACUGUGCUGGAAAUGAUUAAAUGGUGAGUGUGUCAAAUCCAUCUUUUUUUAAAAUUCUUUUUUUUAAA